UACGUAGGGUGCAAGCGUUAAUCGGAAUUACUGGGCGUAAAGCGUGCGCAGGCGGUUUUGUAAGUCUGUCGUGAAAUCCCCGGGCUUAACCUGGGAAUGGCAUUUGGGACUGCAAGGCUUGAGUGCGGCAGAGGAGACUGGAAUUCCUGGUGUAGCAGUGAAAUUCGUAGAUAUUCGCAAGAACACCAGUGGCGAAGGCGGCUUACUGGUCCGGAUCUGACGCUGAGGCGCGAAAGCGUGGGGAGCAAACAGGG
rnacentral:rRNA from 1 species